rnacentral:rRNA from 1 species
AUUGAACGCUGGCGGCAGGCCUAACAAAUGCAAGUCGAACGGUAACAGGAAGCAGCUUGCUGCUUUGCUGACGAGUGGCGGACGGGUGGGUAAUGUCUGGGAAACUGCCGGAUGGAGGGGGAUAACUACUGGAAACGGUAGCUAAUACCGCAUAACGUCGCAAGACCAAAGAGGGGGACCUUCGGGCCUCUUGCCAUCGGAUGUGCCCAGAUGGGAUUAGCUAGUAGGUGGGGUAAAGGCUCACCUAGGCGACGAUCCCUAGCUGGUCUGAGAGGAUGACCAGCCACACUGGAACUGAGACACGGUCCAGACUCCUACGGGAGGCAGCAGUGGGGAAUAUUGCACAAUGGGCGCAAGCCUGAUGCAGCCAUGCCGCGUGUAUGAAGAAGGCCUUCGGGUUGUAAAGUACUUUCAGCGGGGAGGAAGGGAGUAAAGUUAAUACCUUUGCUCAUUGACGUUACCCGCAGAAGAAGCACCGGCUAACUCCGUG